rnacentral:lncRNA from 1 species
CUCCUUCUGUGGAUAAACUAUGAUCUUCGCAUAAAUCUUAAAAGAUCCAAGUAGUUAAAACCGCAAAGCUUCCAUCAGGGGAUUCUUGGAUUUGCCAGUUGCUAACACUGUUAUUUUAUUUUUAGUAAUCUAUUUUGUUCGACCGAUGUCAGGGGGUGCCAUGGAAUGGGUCACCCAGCCCACGCAGCCAUGGUUGAAACUAAAG